UACGGAAGGCAGCAGUGGGGAAUAUUGCACAAUGGGCGCAAGCCUGAUGCAGCCAUGCCGCGUGUAUGAAAAAGGCCUUCGGGUUGUAAAGUACUUUUCAGUCGUGAGGAAGGUGUUAAGGUUAAUAACCUUAGCAAUUGACAUUAGCGACAGAAGAAGCACCGGCUAAACUCCGUGCCAGCAGCCGCGGUAAAUACGGAGGGUGCGAGCGUUAAUCGGAAUUACUGGGCUAAAGGGCACGCAGGCGGUUAAUUAAGUUGGAUGUGAAAAUCCCCCGGGCUUAACCUGGGAAUGGCAUUCAAGACUGGUUAGCUAGAGUCUUGUAGAGGGGGGUAGAAUUCCAUGUGUAGCGGUGAAAUGCGUAGAGAUGUGGAGGUAAAUACCGGUGGCGAAAGGCGGCCCCCUGGACAAAAGCUGACGCUCAAUGUGCGAAAGCUGGGGAGCGAAACAGGAAUUGAAAUACC
rnacentral:rRNA from 1 species